UACGGAGGGUGCAAGCGUUAUCCGGAUUCACUGGGGUUAAAGGGUGCGUAGGUGGGCAGGUAAGUCAGUGGUGAAAUCUCUGGGCUUAACCCGGAAACUGCCGUUGAUACUAUCUGUCUUGAAUGUAGUGGAGGUGAGCGGAAUAUGUCAUGUAGCGGUGAAAUGCUUAGAUAUGACAUAGAACAUCGAUUGCGAAGGCAGCUCGCUACACUAUGAUUGACACUGAGGCACGAAAGCGUGGGGAUCAAACAGG
rnacentral:rRNA from 1 species